rnacentral:tRNA from 1 species
GACAGAUUAGCUCAGCUGGAUAGAGCAUCAGCCUCCGGAGCUGAGGGUCGCGCGUUCGAAUCGCGCAUCUGUCA